rnacentral:rRNA from 1 species
UAUUGGUCAAUGGGCGGGAGCCUGAACCAGCCAAGCCGCGUGAAGGAGGAAGGCGCCAUGCGUCGUAAACUUCUUUUGUCGGGGAACAAAGGGCGCCACGCGUGGCGUUGUGAGUGUACCCGAAGCAAAAGCAUCGGCUAACUCCGUGCCAGCAGCCGCGGUAAUACGGAGGAUGCGAGCGUUAUCCGGAUAUAUUGGGUUUAAAGGGUGCGUAGGCGGCCCGGAAAGUCAGCGGUAAAAGCCCGGGGCUCAACCCCGGCGAGCCGUUGAAACUGUCGGACUAGAGACGGCGAGAAGUACGCGGAAUGCGCGGUGUAGCGGUGAAAUGCAUAGAUAUCACGCAGAACUCCGAUUGCGAAGGCAGCAUACCGGCGCCCUACUGGCGCUGAGGCACGAAAGCGUGGGGAGCAAACAGG